AGUGAACGCUGGCGGCAUGCCUAAUACAUGCAAGUCGAGCGGCAGCACAGUAAGAUUUUGCUUCUACCGGUGGCGAGUGGCGGACGGGUGAGGAAUAGAUCGGCAUCUAUUAUUUCGUGGGUGAUAACGGAGGGAAAGUGAUGCUACUAGCGAAUAUGAUCUACGGGAUGAAGCAAUGGAGCUUGGGGGUUUUCGUGACUCAGUUAGCUGAUGUCGGAUUAGCUAGUUGGCGGGGUAAAGGCACACCAAGGCGACGAUCCGUAGCUGGUCUGAGAGGAUGAUCAGCCACACUGGAACUGAGACACGGUCCAGACUCCUACGGGAGGCAGCAGUGGGGAAUAUUGGACAAUGGGCGCAAGCCUGAUCCAGCCAUACCGCGUGGGUGAAGAAGGCCUUCGGGUUGUAAAGCCCUUUUGUUGGGAAAGAAAAGCAGCAGGUUAAUACCCCGCUGUUCUGACGGUACCCAAAGAAUAAGCACCGGCUAACUUCGUG
rnacentral:rRNA from 1 species